UGUCAAGGAGGGGAUGUCGUCACGUGUCCUGAGGGCUUUCUUAAAAACAUUGUUUUAUUAUUUCUAAGCGUACGUUGUUAUUGCCUUUUAGCUCUUGAGCAUAAUAAUCUCAAUCCCGUUUGAAAUGACACUAAGUGCAUUUGCAUGGUGGCAGAUGAGGGAUGUCACUUCACUCGAGGCGUGCGUACUGAUGAAGAUGUAGUUUCAGUGUUUAAUGCUCAUCCCCUCACUGUGUGUCUGUGUGUGUGUGUGUGUGUGUGUUUGUGUGUUCUUGUCUCUCGCCUGUCCUGUGAGGAUGAAGAUGUAGUUUCAGUGUUUAAUGCUCAUCCCCUCACUGUGUGUCUGUGUGUUCUUGUCUCUUGACAGGUCUGUGAGGAUGAGAAGGUCUCCACAGUCUGGAGUCUGGUCUCUGACAGGCUCAACAUACCUGUCAAUCAACAGGGACUCCUCUAGAAAGGCAAGGCGCUGGCAGGUAGGCUGAACAGCACAGCACAGCACAGAACAGCUCACCCCUCCUCUCACGCCUCGCCUCACCCCGGGUCAGUGUGGCACAGCCUGCCUGCUCUUCUGAACAAACACUUCAGCCCUGCCGACGCAGUGAGAGUCUGGAGCAGCAACACAAGGAUUACGAGCGGAGGCUGCGCUUGUUGAGCCUGGAUGAUAUGGAGCGGCUGGCGACCCGCAUGCUUCACCCUGAGGCUGUGGAGUGCAUGGAGCUGUCCUUCCUGGACUGAGGAAUACUGCUGCUGCCCUCUCUUCUCCCCCUCUCCCCUCUCCUCUCCCCCUCUCCCCUCUCCUCUCCACCUCUCCCCUCUCUUCUCCCCUCUCCCCUCUCUCCUCUCCUCUGUACUCUCUCCUCCCCCUGUCCUCUUCUCUCCUUAGUUUGUUUAAAAGAAUAGAAGCACACCCAGUGAGCAAGGCAUUGAGCAGCCCCACAUCCCGCUUCACAAUACCGCUACAUAUUGACUGACUGUUCGCAUUGUGUGUGUUUGGUAAGACAAACCACAUUUUCUACUCCUACUUUCUACGAUUGGGCAAGUCAGCGGUUGUUUGAUAACAGAACAUAAAACAUCACAGAGCGGGUUGAACUGCAUUGCUGCAAAUCAAGGCCCUUUCAAAUGUGUACCUUCCCAGCUCAGGUAUUGCUGAGGUAAAGAGACACUUCCUACAGGAGGACAGGACGUUGUCAAGGAGGGGAUGUCGUCACGUGUCCUGAGGGCUUUCUUAAAAACAUUGUUUUAUUAUUUCUAAGCGUACGUUGUUACUGCCUUUUAGCUCUUGAGCAUAAUAAUCUCAAUCCCGUUUGAAAUGACACUAAGUGCAUUUGCAUGGUGCAGAUGAGGGAUGUCGCUUCACUCGAGGCUUGUGUACUGAUGAAGAUGUAGUUUCAGUGUUUAAUGGUUAUCCCCUCACUGUGUGUGUGUGUGUGUGUGUGUGUGUGUGUGUGUGUUCUUGUCUCUCGCCUGUCCAGUGAGGAUGAAGAUGUAGUUUCAGUGUUUAAUGCUCAUCCCCUCACUGUGUGUUUGUGUGUUCUUGUCUCUUGACAGGUCUGUGAGGAUGAGAAGGUCUCCACAGUCUGGAGUCUGGUCUCUGACAGGCUCAACAUACCUGUCAAUCAACAGGGACUCCUCUACAAAGGCAAGGCGCUGGCAGAUGAGCACAGACUGUCACACGACUCCAUCGCUCCCGAUUCCAAGCUGAACUCGUUGUGACGCCCCCAACAGAGAAAGUGUCACCCUCGCAAGAACAGCACUCCCUGUGUCACCCCUCCUCUCAGACCUCACCCCUCACCCUCGCCUCACCCCUCCUGUCACACCUCACCCCUCGCCACACCCCUCCUCUCACACCUCACCCCUCCUCUCACCCAUCGCCUCAACCCUCCUGUCACCCCUCGCCCCUCCUCUCACCCCUCGCCUGACCCCUCCUCUCACGCCUCGCCUCACCCCGGGUCAGUGUGGCACAGCCUGCCUGCUCUUCUGAACAAACACUUCAGCCCUGCCGACGCAGUGAGAGUCUGGAGCAGCAACACAAGGAUUACGAGCGGAGGCUGCGCUUGUUGAGCCUGGAUGAUAUGGAGCGGCUGGCGACUCGCAUGCUUCACCCUGAGACUGUGGAGUGCAUGGAGCUGUCCUUCCUAGACUGAGGAAUACUGCUGCUGCCCUCUCCACCUCUCCCCUCUCUUCUCCCCUCUCCCCUCUCUCCUCUCCUCUUUACUCUCUCCUCCCCCUCUCCUCUCCUCUCCUUACUUUGUUUAAAAGAAUAGAAGCACACCCAGUGAGCAAGGCAUUGAGCAGCCCCACAUCCCGCUUCACAAUACUGCUACAUAUUGACUGACUGUUUGCAUUGUGUGUGUUUGGUAAGACAAACCACAUUUUCUACUUUCUGCUAUUUUAAAAGGAGCCCAGUUUGGUGCAGGAGGCUUGUGGGUAACAGAGUUGUUUUUGCUGGGGACUGCAGCCCUUCCAUUACCAUUGCUCGUAGAGGGGAGAUUGUUUUACUUUCAAGCCUUUUUCUUUAAUAAAUCCGGACGUUUGGAAAUACA